rnacentral:rRNA from 1 species
AUUGAACGCUGGCGGCAGGCCUAACACAUGCAAGUCGAGCGGAUGAAGGGAGCUUGCUCCUGGAUUCCGCGGCGGACGGGUGAGUAAUGCCUAGGAAUCUGCCUGGUAGUGGGGGAUAACGUCCGGAAACGGGCGCUAAUACCGCAUACGUCCUGCGGGAGAAAGUGGGGGAUGUUCGGACCUCACGCUAUCAGAUGAGCCUAGGUCGGAUUAGUUAGUUGGUGGGGUAAAGGCAUACCUAGGCGACGAUCGGUAAAUGGUCUGAGUGGAUGAUCAGUCACACUGGAACGGGGACAGGGUCCAGACUCCUACGGGACGCAGCAGUGGGGAAUAUUAGGCAAUGGGCGAGAACCUUGCCCAGCCAGGCGACGUGUGUGAAGGAGGUCUUCGGAGUGUAAAGCACUUUAUGGUGGGAGGAAGGGCAGUAAGUUAAGACCUUGCUUUUUUGACGUUACCAACAGAAUAAGCACCGGCUAACUACGUG